UGAUGUGCAGUACGCAGAAAUCGCGUGCUGUUGGUACCAGAAUUCCCUGAAACAUUCCCAGGAGGCUCGAUUUGAGGUCACUUUGGAACUUUGAGACACCUGUCACCCGGUAGGGAGGUCGGUUGGAGGCCUGCUCUAACUGCACACCAGCCGUAGACGCUAACUCGCAGGGGGUGUGGAGGCAGCCAGCGAGCUUUAGCCAGAGGCUUGGAGGAACCACCUGGGUUGGUCGCUGAACCGCGGGCUCCCAGGACCCGUGUGGGUCCAGCCUGGGUGCCGCCUGAGGCCGAAUGGAUUCAGCGUAAAAAGUCAUCUAUGUGGAGGGACCCUGCCAUCGGUGUCAUUCUGGGAAGCCGAGUGAGGCGCGACAAUUGGGAGGCGUACGUGUAACGCUGGCGUCACAACAGUUUCAGCCGCUGUUUUCAGGUGCCUGCCCGGCUUCUGUUCUGUCCUGCUUCCUACGCUGUUCCACGACAGGAAGUCAGAAGAAAAUGGGCCUCAAGACCACGUUUGGCUUAUAUGCCGCGGAGAGGACUCCUCAAUCUGGACAUUUAUUCAGAUUUUCAGAUAAGAGCCAGGCCCUGUGCCUUUCUGUCUCCUAAGAGUCACAGUUGAUAUUAAAAACUACUCGACAGCAUAGGAA